rnacentral:tRNA from 1 species
GGACCUUUAGCUCAGCUGGUUAGAGCAGACGGCUCAUAACCGUCCGGUCGUAGGUUCGAGUCCUACAANGUCCA